AUGUUUAAUCGGUUUGAUUGUACAGAUUUUCGAUAAGAAAGAAGAAAUUUUAAAAAGUUUUGAGAAGAAGGAUUCUGUGAUUAUUCGAUAUGAUGAUUAUUAUCGAUUGAUCGAAGUUUUAGAACGAUUCGAUAGGGGAUCGAAUGGAAGGAUUUGGCGAAGCUUUUUAGUCGCAUUCUUUUCGGGUAAGAAUGAAGGUGGAAGAUGGUGGUGAGGCAAGGUUGGGAUUUGGAGGUGUGCACGGUUGGUGAGGAAUUUUUGGGGAGUGGUUAUAGGUGUGGUGAAUAGGUUUCGGCGGGAAGUGUUGUUUAGAUGAGCAGAAUUUCUGGCUGAGAUUACUUGUCGUAAUUGAUAAAGAUAUUCGUGUUGGAAGCUUGCAACAGAAAUCGUGACAGAUUUUCUACAUUUAAUAUCUACAUAAAUAGAAGAAAUAUAUAAAUAUGUGUCAAGAAAUAACGCAAAACAGUUGUUUUCACGGAAUUCACGAAAGCCAAACGAACUUCUUCCAUUUAAGAUAAACGAAAAUAAACGAAAAGAUAUACGAAAAGAUAUGUUUGAAAAUCUACAAAAAAAUCUAAAAACAC